CCCAGGGGUUAGGUUUUCCUACCAAAGUAAAUAUUCUCGCGUGGCACCUCUCCCCCACGACGGGCAAAAGGCGUGAACGGGCCCUUUGGUCCCACCUUAUUCACCACUGUAACUCUCAACUAGAUUAGUGUUUCUCCCAGCGACUGCAGACUCUCCUGAGAAUCAGCCUAAGGUCACUGUGUUUGGGUGAUAGUUCCUGACUGUACCAGAGUUCAGCCAAGAGGGGAAGGACUUUGAAGGCUUUGGACUUGAGGAAACAUCACAGAAAGGUGAAGAAGGCUACAGAACUCUAUCAACACUGAGUUGUGAAGCAAGGGGAAAGACUCAUGACCAGGAUCAAAACUUUUUAUGGACAUAGAAGGUUUCCUGAUAGGCCCGUGCUGUUAAAUUUGGGGACUUUGAAGAGAAAGAGGACACCUGAAGAAGGAUCUCUGGUGCCCACCUCCCCGCAGAGACACCGCUGUGCAUAGCUGUACUCACACGAGGUCACCCCCACAAAAGCCGUGGAUGCCAGAAUAUCAAGCACAACUGAGUGUUCAGGAUGCGGCCUUUGGAAGAAGCUCCUAGCUCCUGGCUCCUGGCUUUGGAUCAGCUCAGCUCCAGUCCUUGCGGUCACUUGCGGAGUGAAUCAGUGGAUGGAAGAUCUUUGUCUCCC